AGAACUUUAAGGAUGGAGGAAGAUCAGAGGCUUCUUUAGUGCAUCCUCCUGUUGCAUGGCAGAUGAAAUAUCAUGCUUUCAGCAGGAAUCUGCAAAUAUGUGGGUAAGCUGAUUUUGCUAGCCAGCCAGACCUGUAGGGCUGAAGUACCCACCCCAAUUUAUGGGACAAACACCACAGUAAUGACAGAUCCAGACACCACAUUAAUAGCAGACAUGCCAACUCUGGAUUUUUUUUCCAGCCAUGGCACAAAUGUGUUUCCAGUCAAAGGGUACACCCAGACUAUCUGCCAGAUCGGAUAUAUCGAUCCCCAAAUGCGCUCCCGUCAACUCCGGAACUCCACCAGGGCGAGAGGUGGAAGCGGAGUCAACGUGGGAGCCGCGGUCAUCGAUCCCGCGCC